UACGUAGGGGGCAAGCGUUGUCCGGAAUCAUUGGGCGUAAAGGGCGCGUAGGCGGAUAGUUAAGUCCGAUGUGAAAUACCAAGGCUCAACCUUGGGGCUGCAUCGGAAACUGGUUAUCUUGAGGACAGGAGAGGAAAGUGGAAUUCCACGUGUAGCGGUGAAAUGCGUAGAUAUGUGGAGGAACACCAGUGGCGAAGGCGACUUUCUGGACUGUAACUGACGCUGAGGCGCGAAAGCGUGGGGAGCAAACAGG
rnacentral:rRNA from 1 species